rnacentral:rRNA from 1 species
AAUGAGCGGCGGACGGGUGAGUAACACGUAAGGAACCUGCCUUAAGGAUUGGGAUAACUCCGAGAAAUCGGAGCUAAUACCGGAUAGUUCUUCAGACCGCAUGGUCUGAUGAUGAAAGGCGCUCCGGCGUCACCUUGAGAUGGCCUUGCGGUGCAUUAGCUAGUUGGUGGGGUAAUGGCCCACCAAGGCGACGAUGCAUAGCCGACCUGAGAGGGUGAUCGGCCACACUGGGACUGAGACACGGCCCAGACUCCUACGGGAGGCAGCAGUAGGGAAUCUUCCACAAUGGACGAAAGUCUGAUGGAGCAACGCCGCGUGAGUGAUGAAGGUUUUCGGAUCGUAAAACUCUGUUGUAAGGGAAGAACAGGUGUGAGAGGUAAUGCUCAUGCUAUGACGGUACCUUACGAGAAAGCCACGGCUAACUACGUGCCAGCAGCCGCGGUAAUACGUAGGUGGCAAGCGUUGUCCGGAAUUAUUGGGCGUAAAGCGCGCGCAGGCGGCCUUUUAAGUCUGAUGUGAAAGCCCCCGGCUCAACCGGGGAGGGUCAUUGGAAA